AACCAACAGGGAUUGCCUUAGUAACGGCGAGUGAAGCGGCAAGAGCUCAAAUUUGAAAUCUAGCACUUUCAGUGUUCGAGUUGUAAUUUGAAGAAGGUAUCUUUGGAGUUGGCCCCUGUCUAUGUUCCUUGGAACAGGACGUCACAGAGGGUGAGAAUCCCGUGCGAUGGGGAGACCAAUUCUUUGUAAAGUUCCUUCGAAGAGUCGAGUUGUUUGGGAAUGCAGCUCUAAGUGGGUGGUAAAUUCCAUCUAAAGCUAAAUAUUGGCGAGAGACCGAUAGCGAACAAGUACAGUAAUGGAAAGAUGAAAAGAACUUUGAAAAGAGAGUGAAAAAGUACGUGAAAUUGUUGAAAGGGAAGGGCUUUUGAUCAGACUUGGUGUUUAGUACUCUUCGCUCCUUGUGGGCGGGGCUCUUGCUUUAUACUGGGCCAGCAUCGGUUUGGAUGGUAGGAUAAUGACAUUGGAACCUGGCUUCAUUCGUGGGAGUGGUAUAGCCUUUGGUGAUACUGCCUAUCUAGACCGAGGACUGCGUCUUUGACUAGGAUGCUGGCGUAAUGAUUAAAAGCCGCCGCUUGAAACACAGGACCA
rnacentral:rRNA from 1 species